rnacentral:tRNA from 1 species
GGUGUCUUAGCUCAGUGUUAGAGCGCGUAGCUUUUAACCACUUGGUCGUGGGUUCGAUCCCCAACAUAUAUUG